UACGUAGGGACCGAGCGUUGUCCGGAUUCAUUGGGCGUAAAGAGCUCGUAGGCGGCCACUCAAGUCGAAUGUGAAACCUCGAGGCUUAACCUCGAGCCUGCAUUCGAUACUGGGCGGCUAGAGUCUGGUAGGGGGAUCUGGAAUUCCUGGUGUAGCGGUGGAAUGCGCAGAUAUCAGGAGGAACACCGGUGGCGAAGGCGGGAUCCUGGGCCAGUACUGACGCUGAGGAGCGAAAGCAUGGGGAGCGAACAGG
rnacentral:rRNA from 1 species